GAGGAGGAUGUUACAUUAAAAGAAGAGGAGGAAGAGAAAGAGGAAGAUGCAGUUUUGGGAGUGAAAGAGGAGGGGGGAGAUGACUGUCACAUUGAAAGAAGAAGAGGAGGUUGGAGAUCUGUUUAACACCAGGUCAGCAGACUGUGGGUCUCCCCUGUCAUUCCUUCAGCGUCUUCAUGUCCUAAGGAUAUCCUUCCUCUCCUCUGAGGACCCAGUGAGGGUGGAGCUCAGUCAGAG